UACGGGGGGAGCAAGCGUUGUUCGGAUUUACUGGGCGUAAAGGGCGCGUAGGCGGUCAGCACAAGUCAAUUGUGAAAUCUCCGAGCUUAACUCGGAAAGGUCAACUGAAACUGUGCGACUAGAGUGCGGAAGGGGCAACUGGAAUUCUUGGUGUAGCGGUGAAAUGCGUAGAUAUCAAGAGGAACACCUGCGGCGAAGGCGGGUUGCUGGGCCGGCAUUGACGCUGAGGCGCGAAAGCCAGGGGAGCAAACGGG
rnacentral:rRNA from 1 species